UAAGAAGGGGAGCAACUGUGGUUCUGUUUUGGUGCACUCGGGAAGCAUUUCUCCUACCUAGGUAAAGAGUAAACUUGUUUUAGAAAUAAACUUGUUCACUUGUAGAGGUUUCUCUUAAAACCCUUUUACUUAUUUUCCCCAUCUUCUUCUCUAAUUUUACCUGCCCAUAGCUGCUGUUGAACAAUUGUAAGAUUUCCAAACUCUCAAAUCAGUUGGUUUGAAUGUGCUAUUGUAGGUGUCAUGUGUUAUUUUAAAAUCAGUUGGUUUCUCAAAUUCGUAGAGAUCGUUGUGAGUAGAGAAUGGACUGUAAUUUAGCAGUUUCCGGCAGCCACUCAAGAGAAAUUGGUUAACUUACACUCAAAAUUAAAGACGCAGGUAUGAAUUUUUGCUCAAAACUUAGCUUACGUUUGCUGCUACUGAUAAAAGUGAAGUAAUUCCUACUAUGUUGACAUGGUUUAUUCGAAAUGGGUCAUUUCUCACAGCCUAGUUCUUGGAUUUCUUCACAUGUUUAGAUUAUCUUUUGCUUAUGAGAAAUUCUAAUAACGAUCACAUGACUUUCACUUUGAUUAUUUGAUAUAUCAUUUGGCUUUUUUGCAUAAGAUCGCCUACUGCUUCUAUGUAUACUCGAAUAAUUUCCUUUUCUUUGGCAUAGUUUCUCGUCCUUUUUAGUUAUUUAUGGGGCUUGAUGAUGAUCUUGUUGCAGAUCCCGGGUGCUUUGCAGUUUUUGCAGCUUGGAGAAAGCAGCGUUGCAUGCUUCGGGUGUACUGCGCAGGACAAGGAAGCACUUAUUCUCGAGG
rnacentral:lncRNA from 1 species